UACGUAGGGUGCAAGCGUUGUCCGGAAUUAUUGGGCGUAAAGAGCUCGUAGGCGGUUUGUCGCGUCUGCUGUGAAAACUCGGGGCUUAACCCCGGGCCUGCAGUGGGUACGGGCAGACUAGAGUGCGGUAGGGGAGACUGGAAUUCCUGGUGUAGCGGUGAAAUGCGUAGAUAUCAGGAGGAACACCGGUGGUGUAGACGGCUUUCUGGGACGUGACUGACGCUGAGACGCGAAAGCGUGGGGAGCAAACAGG
rnacentral:rRNA from 1 species